rnacentral:rRNA from 1 species
CGAAGGUUGCAAGCGUUACUCGGAAUUACUAGGCGUAAAGGGCAGGUAGGUGGUUUGGUAAGUCUAUUGUGAAAGCUCCCGGCUUAACCGGGAGAGGCCAAUGGAUACUGCCAAGCUUGAGUAUAGGAGAGGUUACUGGAAUUCCCGGUGUAGCGGUGAAAUGCGCAGAUAUCGGGAGGAACACCAAUGGCGAAAGCAGGUAACUGGACUAUUACUGACACUUAACUGCGAAAGCUAGGGGAGCAAACAGGAUUAGAUACCCUGGUAGUCCUAGCCGUAAACGAUGCACAUUAGACGUGAGGGGUAUCGACCCCCUUCGUGUCGACGCUAACGCAUUAAAUGUGCCGCCUGGGGAGUACGGCCGCAAGGUUG